rnacentral:misc_RNA from 1 species
UUACAGGAUGAAAACGAAUACAUAAUUGUGAAGAGACUCCAUAUAUUACUCGAAUGCAAAGGCCUUGUGACAACUCCCACACUCUAACAGUUUUAUCCAUGGAUGAGGAUGCAAUGUACUGAUUGUUGGAUGAGAAGUCAAAAUCUGAAAGUAUACUUAUGGUUUAGAAACAUGGCAAUGACAGCAAUAUUUCAGACAUUUAACAUUCAGCAUGAGUAUAGUCAUUAAACACUUGCUUUUCAAUAUCAUUGAAUAAUGUUCCUCGCUUAUUUUAGUAAAAAAGUACCCCUCCAAUCAGAAUCCCAAACUGGAAAAAGAGUCAACUUUGAUGAUGCUCCAGAGAAAGUGGAACUGAACAUGCAAUUCAUAAUUCUUAACUGGGAAAGUUCAUAAAAAAUACCUUGUGAUUUAGCACUUUGACACUUAAACUAUGCAUGGAUAGAGGUAUAAUGGAGGGGAAGGGAGGAGAAAUUCCCUUGUAGUACUUGAAAUUCAUUGCAACCCAACUUGGGGUGUUAAAAAUUCCAACUCAUUGAAACAAAAUUAUUUUUAUAACUUCAAUUCACUUUCCCUUCCACCCC